rnacentral:rRNA from 1 species
UCUUGGUCAUUUAGAGGAAGUAAAAGUCGUAACAAGGUCUCCGUAGGUGAACCUGCGGAGGGAUCAUUACCGAGUUUCGUGCCCGUACGGGUAGAUCUCCCACCCUAUGUUAUUAUUACCUUGUUGCUUUGGCGGGCCGCCAGGCUCCGGUCAGGCUAUCGGCUUCGGCUGGUAAGCCGCCCGCCAGAGGACCCAAUAUUCCUGAUUAUCAGUGUCGUCUGAGUACUAUGAUAAUAGUUAAAACUUUCAACAACGGAUCUCUUGGUUCUGGCAUCGAUGAAGAACGCAGCGAAAUGCGAUAAGUAAUGUGAAUUGCAGAAUUCAGUGAAUCAUCGAAUCUUUGAACGCACAUUGCGCCCCUUGGUAUUCCGAGGGGCAUGCCUGUUCGAGCGUCAUUACAACCCUCAAGCAUUGCUUGGUAUUGGGUUCCGCUGCUCACCCAGCGGGCCUUAAAGUCAGUGGCGGUGCCGUCGGGCCCUGAGCGUAGUAAACCUCCUCGCUAUAGGGACCCGGUGGACGCUGGCCAUCAACCCCCUCACUUUCUAAGUUUGACCUCGGAUCAGGUAGGGAUACCCGCUGAACUUAAGCAUAUCAAUAAGCGGAGG